AUACAACGAAUUUUGGGAGCUUUGGAAUUUCAGGUAUUUUUAAUUGGGUCUUAUCUAUUCAUAUAUUUUCUGGGUUUCUGUUGAGAUUUGAAGAUAAGACCAAAUUCACUGAUAAAUUGAAACUUCUGCCUUGAAUGUUUAUGUGUGUUAUGUUCUUUCUUUUCAUGUUAUGUGAAAAAACUCCGUCACUAUAAAAUUACUUGGUUUUUCUUCAAAUUUGGAUAGAGAAAAGUCUUUUUGGGUCUUCCUCGUAUGACCCUUUGAAUACAACGUUAAAGGUUAAGAAUUUGGGCCUUUUGCCCGACCAUCGAAAAUAAAGGUGUAUUUGUGGGUUGAGAUUUGUAAGACUACUAGGCUAGAAAUGCUUUUGGGUGACUGAUACGAUAUAAAGAAUAAAAAGGAAUAUUCAAUCAUGUUGAGUUUGAGAUCGGACCAAUCAAGAAGAGCAGGCAGUUGAGUUGGGUAGGUUGGGAGGCGACAGGGAUGAUCGAGGUUGGACUCUACUCACAUUCGUGCUUGGAAAGGUGACCUCAAACGUGUAAUAUUUUUACUCUUAA
rnacentral:lncRNA from 1 species